rnacentral:rRNA from 1 species
CGGGACGGGUGAGUAACACGUGAGCAACCUGCCUUCGAGAGGGGAAUAACGGCUGGAAACGGUCGCUAAUACCGCAUAACAUACCGGGAGGACAUCCUGCUGGUAUCAAAGAUUUUAUCGCUCGAAGAUGGGCUCGCGUCCGAUUAGGUAGUUGGUGAGGUAACGGCUCACCAAGCCGACGAUCGGUAGCCGGACUGAGAGGUUGAACGGCCACAUUGGGACUGAGACACGGCCCAGACUCCUACGGGAGGCAGCAG